GUUGUCUUUCCUCCUCCAGAUGGGCCAACCAGAGCUACUGUCUCUCCAGCUUUAAUAUGCAGGUUCAAUGAGUUCAAAACAAAAGGCCUAUUGUCACCAUACUUAAAUGAGAUAUCACAAAAUUUGAUAUCUCCUGUAACAUUGGCCAGAUCAACAGCAUCUGGUUUCUCAAUCACCUUAGAUUUAAAACUGAUCAAAUCAAACAACCGUUCAAUAGCUG
rnacentral:misc_RNA from 1 species